rnacentral:rRNA from 1 species
AGAACGAACGUUGGCGGCGUGGAUUAGGCAUGCAAGUCGAACGAGAACCAGGGAGCAAUCCUUGGGGAAAGUGGCGAAAGGGGCAGUAAUGCGUGGAUAACCUACCUCCGGGACGGGUAUAGCCAUUCUAACGAGUGGGUAAUCCCGGCGAUUCGGCUGAGGGGUCAUCUCUUGGCCGGGAAAGGUGUAACGCCUGGAGAGGGGUUCACGUGCUAUUAGCUAGUUGGUGAGGUAACGGCUCACCAAGGCAAAGAUGGCUAGCGGGUGUGAGAGCACGACCCGCGCCACUGGCACUGAGACACUGGCCAGACUCCUACGGGAGGCUGCAGUCGAGGAUCUUCGGCAAUGGGCACAAGCCUGACCGAGCGACGCCGCGUGCGCGAUGAAGGCCUUCGGGUGUUAAAGCGCUGUCGAGGGGAGGAAAGUCCGCAAGGACCUGACCUAUCCCUGGAGGAAGGACGGGCUAAGUUCGUGCCAGCAGCCGC